rnacentral:rRNA from 1 species
GACGAACGCUGGCGGCGUGCUUAACACAUGCAAGUCGAGCGGUAAGGCCCUUUCGGGGGUACACGAGCGGCGAACGGGUGAGUAACACGUGGGUGACCUGCCCUCAGCUCUGGGAUAAGCCUGGGAAACUGGGUCUAAUACUGGAUAUGACUCCACGGUGCAUGUCGUGGGGUGGAAAGCCUUGUGCGGCUGAGGAUGGGCCCGCGGCCUAGUCAGCUUGUUGGUGGGGUGANGGCCGUACCAAGGCGACGACGGGUAGCCGGCCUGAGAGGGCGACCGGCCACACUGGGACUGAGACACGGCCCAGACUCCUACGGGAGGCAGCAGUGGGGAAUCUUGCGCAAUGGGCGAAAGCCUGACGCAGCGACGCCGCGUGAGGGAUGACGGCCU